rnacentral:rRNA from 1 species
UCGCCUGUUUAUCAAAAACAUAGCCAUUAGUAGUUGUUAUUGGUGAUUUCUGCUCAAUGAUAUUUUAAAUAGCCGCAGUACCCUGACUGUGCAAAGGUAGCAUAAUAAAUUGGCUUAUAAUUAAAGUCUAGAAUGAAUGAGAUAAUGGAGAAUAACUGUAUCUUGGGUGAUAUAUAAAAUUACUUAGCACGUGAAAAUUCGUGUAAUUAACUAAUAGACGAGAAGACCCUAGAAAUUUUAAGAACUUGUUUACAUGGUUUUUGUUGGGGCAACAGUGUAACAAAUAACUUACAUUAUUUACAAGAAAUAUAAUUUGACAGAAUAAAUUACUCUAGGGAUAACAGCGUAAUGUUAUAGACGAUUGCGACCUCGAUGUUGGACUAGGAUACGAAAG